AGUGAACGCUGGCGGUAGGCCUAACACAUGCAAGUCGAACGGCAGCACAGUAAGAGCUUGCUCUUACGGGUGGCGAGUGGCGGACGGGUGAGGAAUACAUCGGAAUCUACUUUUUCGUGGGGGAUAACGUAGGGAAACUUACGCUAAUACCGCAUACGACCUACGGGUGAAAGCAGGGGAUCUUCGGACCUUUCGCGAUUGAAUGAGCCGAUGUCGGAUUAGCUAGUUGGCGGGGUAAAGGCCCACCAAGGCGACGAUCCGUAGCUGGUCUGAGAGGAUGAUCAGCCACACUGGAACUGAGACACGGUCCAGACUCCUACGGGAGGCAGCAGUGGGGAAUAGUGGACAAUGGGCGCAAGCCUGAUCCAGCCAUACCGCGUGGGUGAAGAAGGCCUUCGGGUUGUAAAGCCCUUUUGUUGGGAAAGAAAAGCAGCAGGUUAAUACCCCGCUGUUCUGACGGUACCCAAAGAAUAAGCACCGGCUAACUUCGUG
rnacentral:rRNA from 1 species